GAGCUUGUAGGCGGUUUGUCGCGUCUGCUGUGAAAAUCCGGGGCUCAACCCCGGACUUGCAGUGGGUACGGGCAGACUAGAGUGUGGUAGGGGAGACUGGAAUUCCUGGUGUAGCGGUGAAAUGCGCAGAUAUCAGGAGGAACACCGAUGGCGAAGGCAGGUCUCUGGGCCACUACUGACGCUGAGAAGCGAAAGCAUGGGGAGCGAACAGGAUUAGAUACCCUGGUAGUCCAUGCCGUAAACGUUGGGAACUAGGUGUGGGUCUCAUUCCACGAGAUCCGUGCCGCAGCUAACGCAUUAAGUUCCCCGCCUGGGGAGUACGGCCGCAAGGCUAAAACUCAAAGGAAUUGACGGGGGCCCGCACAAGCGGCGGAGCAUGCGGAUUAAUUCGAUGCAACGCGAAGAACCUUACCAAGGCUUGACAUAUACCGGAAACUUCCAGAGAUGGUUGCCCCCUUUGGGUCGGUAUACAGGUGGUGCAUGGUUGUCGUCAGCUCGUGUCGUGAGAUGUUGGGUUAAGUCCCGCAACGAGCGCAACCCUCGUUCUAUGUUGCCAGCACGUAAUGGUGGGGACUCAUGGAAGACUGCCGGGGUCAACUCGGAGGAAGGUGGGGAUGACGUCAAAUCAUCAUGCCCCUUAUGUCUUGGGCUUCACGCAUGCUACAAUGGCCGGUACAAAGGGCUGCGAUACCGCAAGGUGGAGCGAAUCCCAAAAAACCGGUCUCAGUUCGGAUUGGGGUCUGCAACUCGACCCCAUGAAGUCGGAGUCGCUA
rnacentral:rRNA from 1 species